rnacentral:tRNA from 1 species
UGGGGUGUAGCCAAGCGGUAAGGCACUAGACUCUGACUCUGGCAUUCGCAGGUUCGAAUCCUGCCACUCUAG